UUGUCACCCAGACGGACUGGAAUGAGGAGAGAGUAGCCAAGACAAAGAGAGAAAAUUAGUGUGGACCAUGAGACACGAGUUUAUAGUUUAUUGUUCCUGGGCAUAGGAUGGAGCCUUCCUGCUCUUCUGUCUCUGGGGUGUCCUCUGCAUCUCCAUCUCCAUCCUCUCUGGCUUCCGACCAUCACAACCUCUGCAAGCACACUCUGAAGUUAAGAGAAUAAGAGAAAUAAGGAAAGGAGAUAAGUGAAGAAAAAACUACAUCUACAGUUUUAAAAAAACUGUCAUUCUGGGAUCUGAAGGCAGAGUGCUAAGACAUCCCUAGUUAUAAAACCUAUCUUGAUUGGAAUUUAUUUAUUUAUAUAUCUACUUCCUAAGAUGUUCAUCAGUAGCUUCCAACAAAAGAUGCAGAUAUAACAAAAUUAAAUAAUUUAAUUAGCAUUAAGUGAGAGUCUAAUGUGUACAAAGCAUUGGGUUGCAGGGAGCUUGGCCUUGUGCAGAGAGCAAGGGACUUGGAAUAUCUUGUAGCAGUGUAACCUGAGAAAGUUAAUUUUUAAGCAUCAGUUCCUCUUCUGUAAAACCAAGUUAAUAAUUGUAGAACCUACCUCACAGACUUGUGUUAUGGGUUUAAGUAAUGUAUGUUGAAGUGCUUAACGUAGUCUCUGGCAAUUCAGUAAGCACUUAAUACACAACUUCCUCCCCUGGCUUUCCUUCAGGUUUGAUGAUUGACCAAGUAGCAGCUGCGAUAUGGGAUGGAGGCAUAUUCUGACUCUGCUCAGAGAGGGCCACUUCCUUGUGAUAUGGGUGACAUUUUGACUUAUUCUUCUCCUCAACAUGCCAGAGGCCACCCUGACUCCAGGAAUGACCAGAAGAAGAUGCAGCCCAGACCAUUCAUGCCGAUGUUUCUGAGCUCUAGAGAUUAUUUGUAGUUGUACUGGGACAUCCCAGUUCAGAUAUGCUACUAGCGUUCUUUGACUCCUGCAGGCAUUUGUAGGCUAUUCCCUAGAGCUAGAGAGGGAUCAAGAAAGGCUUGAGCCCUAUUGUUACAGGAAAGCGGGUCCUGAUCCAGACCCCAAGAGCGAGUUCUUGGAUCUCACACAAGAAAGAAUUCAGGGUGAGUCCACAGAGUAAAGUGAAAGCAAGUUUAUUAAGAAAGUAAAGGAAUAAAGAGUGGCUACUCCAAAGACA
rnacentral:lncRNA from 13 species